ACACCACAACCAAUGGAAGGGCUUCAUGACAUUGGUCCACCACCAUUCCUUACGAAGACAUAUGAAAUGGUGGAUGAUUCAACUACAGAUCAUAUUGUUUCAUGGAACAGAGGAGGUCAAAGCUUCGUCGUCUGGGAUCCUCAUUUCUUUUCGACUACACUACUUCCUAAAUUCUUCAAACAUAACAAUUUCUCCAGCUUUGUUAGACAGCUUAAUACUUAUGGAUUUAGAAAGAUUGAUCCAGAGAGAUGGGAAUUCGCGAACGAGGCAUUUCUAAAGGGGAGUAAGCAUCUUCUAAGGAACAUCAAGAGGCGAAAAACGCCUAAUUCUUCUCAGCCUUUGCCUUCUACAGAGCAAGGUCUCGGGCCUUGUGUCGAGUUAGGAAGAUUUGGAUUUGAUGGAGAAGUUGAUCGAUUGAGGCGUGAUAAGCAAGUUUUGAUGAUGGAACUAGUGAAGCUUAGACAGAAUCAACAGAAUACUCGAGCUUAUCUUCGAUCUUUGGAGGUAAGGUUACAAGGAACAGAGAGGAAGCAGCAACAAAUGAUGAAUUUUUUAGCAAGAGCAAUGCAAAAUCCCGAGUUUGUCCAGCAGUUAAUCCAGCAAAAAGGGAAGAGGAGAGAAAUUGAAGAGGAUAUAACUAAAAAAAGGCGACGACCUAUUGAUCAUCAAGGUCCUAGUGCUACAUUACAUGUUGGAGGAUCUAGUCAUUCAAUAAAAUCAGAACCCUUGGAAUUCGGAGAGGCUAACGAAUUCCAAGUCUCUGAACUUGAAGCACUUGCAUUAGAAAUGCAGGGAUAUGGUAGAGCAAGAAAGGAUCAACAAGAAGAGUACACGAUAGAAGGGCUCGAGCAAUUUGGGAACACGGAUAAAGAACUUGAUGUGGGGUUUUGGGAAGAGCUAUUUAACGAUGAGGACGUGUCUGGAAAUGAAGACGGUGAAGAGGAAGAUGUAGAUGUCUUGGCAGAGAGGUUAGGGUUCUUGGAUUCGAGCCCUUAGUAAAAGCCUCAAACUAGUUUUGUCUCAUGUGCUUUUAUUCAAGAACUCAUGAUUCAUGAGCUGGAUCGUUACAUCGAAAUCUUUGAGUUUUCAAGUAUUCAACGACGAAUGAAGAAAGCAGCUAUAUGGAUCGACCAGCUACUCGUUGAUUCAUGAAGGACUCAAGAGUCAAGUCUGAUAAUCCCUUGCAUAGGUUAUGAAGAUUCUGAUCAAGUUUAUGGUCUUCGAAGAUUAUUGAAAAUUCUCAUUUUGGGUAAUAAAAAGAUGUCAACUAAUACGUGUUAGAUUCUUCAAAAAUAAUGUAUUUUAGAGAAUCUGACACAGAUGCGAAACCAAAAUUGAUAACAUUGCUUUGCUUGUGUGUGGUUCUUAGAGUGUUGUCUUUAUGAUGACGACAUAGGUUUUACAAGUAGAACCAAUUACACCAGAAUCAAGGUUUUAUCACAAGUGGCGAUUUAUAACUACUUUGCUGACAAAGCUUUAA